CCUACGGGUGGCAGCAGUGAGGAAUAUUGGUCAAUGGACGAGAGUCUGAACCAGCCAAGUAGCGUGAAGGAUGACUGCCCUAUGGGUUGUAAACUUCUUUUAUAUGGGAAUAAAACGUUCCACGCGUGGCAUUCUGUACGUAUCAUACGAAUAAUGAUCGGCUAACUCCGUGCCAGCAGCCGCGGUAAUACGGAGGAUCCGAGCGUUAUCCGGAUUUAUUGGGUUUAAAGGGAGUGCAGGCGGGUUGUUAAGUCAGUUGUGAAAGUUUGCGGCUCAACCGUAGAAUUGCAGUUGAAACUGGCAGUCUUGAGUACCGGAGAGGUGAGCGGAAUUCGUGGUGUAGCGGUGAAAUGCUUAGAUAUCACGAAGAACACCGAUUGCGAAGGCGGACUGCUGGACUGCAACUGACGUUGAGGCCCGAAAGCGUGGGGAGCAAACAGGAUUAGAUACCCCUGUAGUC
rnacentral:rRNA from 1 species